UCUGAAAGAGAUUGAGAGAGAAAGAGAGAGAGAGAGAGAGAGAGAGAGAAGGGAAGGGAGGAGGGUGAGAAACAGAAAGAAACAUUGAUCAAAACACAGCCCACUCUUGGCAGGGCUCAAGUAUUCAUUUUGGUGCAUGGAACCCAAGAGACUCAUUGUGUUUUUGUCCAACAAAUCCUUUCUCCGGAAUCUACAAUUUAGAGACCCAGUAAAAAAGCACCUAUUAAAUAUUUCCAUGCUUAUUUAGGGUGUCCCCUUUUCUUUAGGUUAGGAGAUGGCUGGUUGGCUGUUCACGCCUAUUGGUAUUUUUUUCCCCCCUUGAACAGUCAUUGGCAUUGCUUAAUUUUAAUCAAGGACAGCUAAAUUUUUACCCUUUUAUUUAUAUAUCUUACCCCAUUCCUCCAAAAAGCUCAAGGCUGUGUGUGUAUGUGUGUGUGUGUGUGUGUGUGUGUGUGUGUGUA